UCACUAUAGAAGCUUAUAGCGGAUAGCACUAGCCUUUUAAGCUAGAAAAAGAGACUUACCACACCUCCUUAGUG
rnacentral:tRNA from 3 species